GCUGUUGUAUAUGUAAAAAAAUACGUUAUAUAUGUAUAUGUUGUAUUUGAGAGGAGGCAGGCAAGACAAUUGUUCCAAAUCUCCUUUAUUAAUAACCAUGCUGGACAAAUUAUUAUGCAUCUAUAUAGCUAUCAGUGUACACUUGCCCAGGACAAGAAAUGCAACUUCAUCCUCCAUAUAGAUUUGCCUUCUUUGUACAGAGUCAAAGCCUUUGGUGAGCAUGAAUUAGCUUAUGAGGUUCCGCUGUCUUCCUUUUCUUGGACUAGGGUGAGGUUCUGGGGAUUACUCGGUUUGGCCUGGCAAAAAUGAAGGAGAGUGUAUUGAUGCUUGCUUCGUUUGAGAAGACAGCAGAUCACCUCUUCGACGCUGCAUAUUUGGGCAGAAGGAUUCUGUGUGUGGCGUUUCUGAGUGCAUCAUUAUGGGUAUCCCAAUGAACAUUGGAACUGGACUUUUCAGCUGCUGCAUAAAGCUGACAAGGAAGCAGACCCCCCAAGAAGGCCUUUAAUUUUGACAACCCCGAUUUCCAUAUUUCCCUUACUACGUAGCAGCUGGAGAGCACCAAACAGCAAGCAGAUGGCAUAUUUUAAACUGGAGCUGCAUGCCUCUCUAAGUAGGGUUUGGAGGCUGGAUAAGUGAGAGAUCAUGAUGUGCGCAACUGAUCCACCACUGCUGCAGGCGUUUAUCUUUUGUGUACUUAAUCCGCAGUGAACUUCAGCUGAUGGCGUUUGGUUUUUAAAAGCAAUAAUUUUCCCUGCUACAUCAAAAACCUGUAACGUGGAUUGUGGGACACCAAAUCCCUAUGAAAGGGAAGGCGCUUAACGUUUUUGCCUGGAUUUCUGUCAGAAGCAUUAGUUAUAGUAAUAGGAAAGAUUUCUGCUGCCUCUACCAGCUGUGAUAAACAUCUGUCAGAGUGUCCAAAGUAAUUUCCAGUUGGAUUGAUAUCGAAUAGAAGGAAGGUUGUGUUUGCUGUCAUAUGUAGUGCAUAUCCUUUUCUGUUAAAGUUUGUUUCCCAAGUACACUUUGUGUGGCGACUUCUUAG